rnacentral:rRNA from 1 species
UACGUAGGUGGCUAGCGUUGUCCGGAUUUACUGGGCGUAAAGAGCGCGCAGGCGGUCGUUCAAGUCGAGUGUGAAAGCCCCCGGCUCAACUGGGGAGGGUCACUCGAUACUGAUCGACUCGAAGGCAGGAGAGGGAAGCGGAAUUCCUGGUGUAGUGGUGAAAUGCGUAGAUAUCGGGAGGAACACCAGUGGCGAAGUCGGCUUUCUGGCCUGCUCUUGACGCUGAGGCGCGAAAGCUAGGGUAGCAAACGGG